rnacentral:rRNA from 1 species
UACAGAGGCCCCGAGCGUUGUUCGGAUUUACUGGGCGUAAAGCGCACGUAGGCGGAUCGUUAAGUCGGGGGUGAAAUCCUGGAGCUCAACUCCAGAACUGCCUUCGAUACUGGCGACCUUGAGUCCGGAAGAGGUGAGUGGAACUCCUAGUGUAGAGGUGGAAUUCGUAGAUAUUAGGAAGAACACCAGUGGCGAAGGCGGCUCACUGGUCCGGUACUGACGCUGAGGUGCGAAAGCGUGGGGAGCAAACAGG